GUUUCUGUAGUGUAGUGGUCAUCACGUUCACCUAUCGCGCGAGCGAUCCCCAGUUCGAAACUGGGCGGAAACU